rnacentral:rRNA from 1 species
AGAAUCAACGCUGGCGGCGUGCCUAACACAUGCAAGUCGCACGAGAAAGGGACUUCGGUCCUGAGUACAGUGGCGCACGGGUGAGUAACACGUGAAUCAUCUACCUCCGAGUGGGGAAUAACCUAGAGAAAUCUGGGCUAAUACCGCAUAACACUUACGAGUCAAAGCAGCAAUGCGCUUUGGAGAGGAGUUCGCGGCAGAUUAGUUAGUUGGCGGGGUAAUGGCCCACCAAGACGAUGAUCUGUA